rnacentral:rRNA from 1 species
GCGGACUGACGGUACACCGCCAGGUGUCUAUUGUCACGCUCCGAACAGCUAAAGCCCCGCCGGCUCGCACGGGGUGCUCUUCACCGGGUGUCCCGAGUGGCCGGCACGUUUACUUUGAAAAAAUUAGAGUGCUCAGAGCAGGCUACAUGAACGGCCUGAAUGUCUAUGCAUGGAAUAAUGGAAGAGGACCUCGGUUCUAUUUUGCCUGUUUACGGAACCUGAGGUAAUGAAUAAUCGGGACAGGCGGGGGCAUUCGUACUGCGACGCUAGAGGUGAAAUUCUUGGACCGUCGCAAGACGAACUACUGCGAAAGCAUUUGCCAAGGAUGUUUUCAUUAAUCAAGAACGAAAGUUAGAGGUUCGAAGGCGAUCAGAUACCGCCCUAGUUCUAACCAUAAACGAUGCCAACUAGCGAUCCGCCGGCGUUAUUCCCAUGACCCGGCGGGCAGCUUCCGGGAAACCAAAGUCUUUGGGUUCCGGGGGAAGUAUGGUUGCAAAGCUGAAACUUAAAGGAAUUGACGGAAGGGCACCACCAGGAGUGGAGCCUGCGGCUUAAUUUGACUCAACACGGGGAACCUCACCAGGCCCAGACACUGGAAGGAUUGACAGAUUGAGAGCUCUUUCUCGAUUCGGUGGGUGGUGGUGCAUGGCCGUUCUUAGUUGGUGGAGCGAUUUGUCUGGUUAAUUCCGAUAACGAACGAGACUCUGGCCUAUUAACUAGUCGACGGAUCUCCUAAAUGUGGUGUCCAGUUCGCAACUUCUUCUUAGAGGGAUAAGCGGCAAUUCUAGCCGCACGAGACUGAGCAAUAACAGGUCUGUGAUGCCCUUAGAUGUUCUGGGCCGCACGCGCGCUACACUGAAGGGAGCAACGUGUUGUCCCACUCCGAGAGGAGCGGGUAACCCGUUCAAAGCCCUUCUUGAUAGGGAUUGGGGUUUGCAAUUGUUUCCCAUGAACGAGGAAUUCCCAGUAAGUGCAAGUCAUCAGCUUGCGCUGACUACGUCCCUGCCCUUUGUACACACCGCCCGUCGCUACUACCGAUUGAAUGAUUUAGUGAGGCCUUCGGACUGGCGCUCUUGGAUGUUCUCUACCCCGCGCGCCUCGGCGCAACGGGUUCUCGCCUCGAGCUGACGGAAAGAUGUCCAAACUUGAUCAUUUAGAGGAAGUAAAAGUCGUAACAAGGUUUCC